AUCUUAGCAUACAACACACAAAUAAAGCAUCCAAAUAAAACUGUUUUUCAACCAUUCAGUGCGAAAAUGUAGGCACAGGCAAGCACA
rnacentral:lncRNA from 1 species